GACGAACGCUGGCGGCGUGCUUAACACAUGCAAGUCGAACGGAAAGGCCCUGCUUUUGUGGGGUGCUCGAGUGGCGAACGGGUGAGUAACACGUGAGUAACCUGCCCUUGACUUUGGGAUAACUUCAGGAAACUGGGGCUAAUACCGGAUAGGAGCUCCUGCUGCAUGGUGGGGGUUGGUAAGUUUCGGCGGUUGGGGAUGGAUUCGCGGCUUAUCCGCUUGUUGGUGGGGUAGUGGCUUACCAAGGCUUUGACGGGUAGCCGGCCUGAGAGGGUGACCGGCCACAUUGGGACUGAGAUACGGCCCAGACUCCUACGGGAGGCAGCAGUGGGGAAUAUUGCACAAUGGGCGGAAGCCUGAUGCAGCAACGCCGCGUGCGGGAUGACGGCCUUCGGGUGGUAAACCGCUUUCGCCUGUGACGAAGCGUGAGUGACGGUAAUGGGUAAAGAAGCACCGGCUAACUACGUG
rnacentral:rRNA from 1 species